AGCCUUAGCCAAAUGUGAAAAUAACGAAAAUAAUAAGUUCUAACACUGCAGUUUUUAUAGAUUUCAAACGUCCAUCAUUUUCCAUUUUAAUUUUAAAUCCCGUUCUAAAUUUGAAUGUUUGAAAUCGUUAUUAGUAAUUCGGGGCGCAUUAGUGGUAACUAUGGCUAGUUUUAUGUAUGGGAGAAGUUUUUUUCUUACUCUCAACUUCGCGGGGGAACUUCGGCUCGAACAUCCAACCUAGGUUUGAUAUAACACAACCUGUGUGUUUGGUACCAUCAAGACAAAAAUAACACUGAUCGAGCAAAACUUAUCUUGUCUCGGUUUCUUUGUUGUCUCUGAAGAUUUGACUGCCAUAAAAAAUAUUAAUCGAGAUUCUUUUGUUAUGUUAAUUUAAAGCUUUGUAAUAUUGUCUCGUUUAAUAUGCUUAAAUGUCACUGCAGCCCACGUGAAUUUAUCUUCAAGAAAAGGUUUGUUUUUCUUUGUCCAAGUUGUUUCGAAACUUGUUAACAAUCAUUUGUUAUGAAACCAUGCACCAUCAGCAGUUUCGAAAAAUCUUCAACGAGAGAAAUUUUUAAGGAUUUUAUUGGUAACUUAACAGAGUAAUAAUUCAUUGAAAUUGAAAUUGUUCAGAAGUUAUUAUAUAUAUUCGAAUCGUGAAGUUCAUACAUAGCAAUCCUGCAUCCUGGAAUUUUCGAGAUCAGUUAUAAAAAAAUCCAGUUAAAGUUUUAACUAUUGUUUUAGAAUAUAUACUAUAUAUAUGUAAAAAAAAAUUAUUUUUUAUUUAUCAAGUUGUAUUUUACGCAAUAAUAAUUGAGAAUUAGGAUA